rnacentral:lncRNA from 1 species
UUUUUUCUUUUCCCCACAACAAAUCAGAGAACAUUACUCCCCUUCCUCCCUCCCAUUUCUCACUCACGGCUCUCUCUUUCUCUUCUCUAAUCUUCAUCAAGCUUCAAUUUUUGCUCAAACUUCAAACAUGCAAGAUUAAAAUCAUGUCAUAGGUAUCAAAUCAAAUCUCCAGCCAACUCUUUUUCCCUCAUUCCUCCUCUUUUUAAACUCAACCACCAUCAACCAUAAGAAGAUUUGAAAGUUUUGGUUAAGCUCAUAAUUGGGAUUGCAUAUGUGUUAAUUGUGGUGUUAGAUGCAAGAAAGUGAAUUUUCAACUUAAGCAGAAGAUUGGGGUCUGAUAGGAGCUUGGAGCUUUUCAAGGGAAUCAACUCAAAACAUGGUGCUGGAAACCAUUAGGUACAUCUAAUGGUUUUGGAAUACAACUCACAGAAACUAUUUCUGGAUUUAUGCAAGGUGCAUAAGGAUUUCCUUAUGCACCAUAACCGCAGCCGUUAGAGACUUGCUUCCCAAUUGGUGCUGCUGGGAAUUUUCUUUUGCGACGGGAAUCAAAGACUUUCUCAUUUCAAUUUGAGGAUUUCAACAGGAUGGCAAGCCUAGCGCGCAUAGUCAAAAGUUCGACAGAACAAAGCUGAGAGUGCAAUCGCGUCGACUUCAAGCAUUCAAGGUGGGAAAACACGAUUUCAAGCUCAAGAGAGGCUUCCUUAGUGAAAACAUGGGGAAAAGUGGUUGUCCAAGAUGGAGAAAGUGUUGAUCAUGGGAUUAGUGCUUUGCCAGUUAGUUUCUUUUGGUAUAAAUAAGAGUUUUCAAGUCGGAAAACGGGUCGCAAAUCAUUUAUAGAAAUUCUUCAACACUCAAAUUACCGGCGUCUUGGAAAACAAGUUAUACAUAAU